GAUGAAGAACGCAGCGAAAUGCGAUAAGUAGUGUGAAUUGCAGAAUUCAGUGAAUCAUCGAAUCUUUGAACGCACAUUGCGCCCCUUGGUAUUCCAUGGGGCAUGCCAGUUCGAGCGUCAUUUGUACCUUCAAGCUCUGCUUGGUGUUGGGUGUUUGUCUCGCCUCUGCGUGUAGACUCGCCUCAAAACAAUUGGCAGCCGGCGUAUUGAUUUCGGAGCGCAGUACAUCUCGCGCUUUGCACUCAUAACGACGACGUCCAAAAGUACAUUUUUACACUCUUGACCUCGGAUCAGGUAGGGAUACCCGCUGAACUUAAGCAUAUCAAUAAGCGGAGGA
rnacentral:misc_RNA from 1 species